rnacentral:sRNA from 1 species
GUCGGAGAUGGCGGGGCUUCAGCACCUCAGCCGUCCUGGGCCGCCGGACACCCCCGCUGGGGCCGAUGCCCAACAGUGACAUCGACUUGAGCAACCUGGAGCGGCUGGAGAAGUACCGGAGCUUCGACCGCUACCGGCGCCGGGCAGAGCAGGAGGCGCAGGCCCCGCACUGGUGGCGGACCUACCGGGAGCAUUUCGGGGAGAAGACAGAUCCCGAAGAAAAGAUUGAUAUUGGGCUGCCUCCACCCAAAGUCUCCCGGACCCAACAGCUACUGGAACGGAAACAGGCCAUCCGGGAGCUUCGGGCCAAUGUGGAAGAGGAGCGGGCUGCCCGCCUCCGCACAGCCAGUGUCCCGCUGGAUGCUGUGCGGGCCGAGUGGGAGAGGACCUGUGGCCCCUACCACAAGCAGCGUCUGGCUGAGUAUUACGGCCUCUACCGAGACCUGUUCCACGGUGCUACCUUUGUGCCCCGAGUCCCUCUGCACGUGGCCUACGCUGUGGGUGAGGACGACCUGAUGCCCGUGUACUGUGGCAAUGAGGUGACUCCAACCGAGGCUGCCCAAGUGCCAGAGGUGACCUAUGAGGCAGAAGAGGGCUCCUUGUGGACAUUGCUACUCACUAGCUUGGAUGGGCACCUGCUGGAGCCGGAUGCUGAGUACCUCCACUGGCUGCUGUGAGUACCGGAGUACCGGGGGUAGGGGGGUGCUGCCCAGGCCGGAAGAGGACCUGGGAGCCUGGACUGAGCUGCUCCUAAGUUUCAUGGACUACCCAUGGGACCUGGAAUUCACCUCCCGCCUCUGCCUCCUGAGGGUGUUAGGGGCCCUGGGAUCCACGUGUCUACUUG